rfam:Human gut metagenome DNA, contig sequence: F2-Y_009489.
UGAGUGAUACUAGGGUCGAAAAGUCACAAGCUGAUCAUGCUUGCAUGAAGAGGCUUGUGACCUUGAGACCUGUUAAAACAUGAGGAUGCAGCGAUUUUCAAGGAAAAUCAGCGAAUCCGAAUGUUUUUAGAAUUGCGAGAGUUGCGUAGCAACGAAGCAAUUCGUAAGUAUCAAUUCAU